GACCAAUGAUGAAAAUGAUUCUGCCAUAUGAAUAAAACUGAUUAUGCUCUUAACCGUUCCACUUUUUUCUGAGGUU